rnacentral:rRNA from 1 species
AUUGAACGCUGGCGGCAGGCCUAACACAUGCGAGUCGAGCGGUUGAAGGGAGCUUGCUCCUGGAUUCAGCGGCGGACGGGUGAGUAAUGCCUAGGAAUCUGCCUGGUAGUGGGGGAUAACGUCCGGAAACGGGCGCUAAUACCGCAUACGUCCUGAGGGAGAAAGUGGGGGAUCUUCGGACCUCACGCUAUCAGAUGAGCCUAGGUCGGAUUAGCUAGUUGGUGGGGUAAAGGCCUACCAAGGCGACGAUCCGUAACUGGUCUGAGAGGAUGAUCAGUCACACUGGAACUGAGACACGGUCCAGACUCCUACGGGAGGCAGCAGUGGGGAAUAUUGGACAAUGGGCGAAAGCCUGAUCCAGCCAUGCCGCGUGUGUGAAGAAGGUCUUCGGAUUGUAAAGCACUUUAAGUUGGGAGGAAGGGCAGUAAGUUAAUACCUUGCUGUUUUGACGGUACCAACAGAAUAAGCACCGGCUAACUUCGUG